AUGCUGGGCUAAGACAAGGGGCAGAGGCAGAGAGAGAGAGAGGAGCCACCCUGAGAAGGAAGAGACCAGGUGGACUCUGAGACAGGGAGACCCUUUCUACGUCAGUGCCUUGACGUGUGACUUUUUUGUCACUUCGUGCUCCAGGAUCACCCCCGGAUGAACUAUCACUUUCAAAUGACCUUGUCUUUUCUCGGGCCUUCCGAACUGAUCAUCUCUUCCUUCUGAUACAAGAGGAUCUUCCCUGGAAGACCACUGCACACCUUCUAGUAACACUGGGACCCUGGAUGCAUAUUUAGAAAAAUCUCAGCACAUCUCUGGGCAAUUAAAUCAUUCUUUUGGGACCUGACACAUGAACUGAAGUGUAAUUGGCAUUCUUUAUGGAAGGGGCAUGGAUUUAAAUUGUCAUAAUAUUCUACUUUGAAGAACACCAGUAGACAGAAGCAAGAUGAUUAAUUUUUAAUGCUAAAGUAUGCAAAACCUGCCACUUCACUGGCAAUCCAUGAAUUAUUCAUAAAUAUAGACUUCG
rnacentral:lncRNA from 1 species